GAUGAACGCUGGCGGCGUGCUUAAUACAUGCAAGUCGAGCGAUCGGACGAGAAGCUUGCUGCUGUGAUGUUAGCGACGGACGGGUGAGUAACAAGUAGAUAACCCACCUAUAAGACUUGGAUAAUUUCGGGAAACCGGAGUUAAGACCGGAUAAUAUUUUGAAACGGAUGGUUCAAAAGUGAAAGACGGUCUUGCUGUGACUUAUAGACGGAUCCGCGCUGCAUUAGCUAGUUGGUAAGGUAACGGCUUACCAAGGCAACGAUGCAUAGCCGAGCUGAGCGGGUGAUCGGCCACACGGGAGCUGAGACACGGUCCAGGCUCCUACGGGACGCAGCAGUAGGCAAUCUUCCGCAAUGGUCGAGAGCCUGACGCAACAACGCCGCGUGAGAUAUGAAGGUCUUCCGAUCGUAAAACUCUGCUAUUGGGGAUGAACAUAUGUGUAAGUAACAGUACACAUCUUGACGGUACCUAAUCAGAAAGCCACGGCUAACUACGUG
rnacentral:rRNA from 1 species